CUAGUUUAAUCGAUUUUUUUGGAAGACAUAUUUUGCCGGCCCUAAAUUGUCACUUGAUAUUUGUUUACAUUGCAUAUACAAAUCAGUUGCCAGUUGAAUAUAUUACUAUAAUAUUAAAGAAUGGAAAAACAAAAAUACAAAAAAAGAAAUUUGUGAAGUGAUAGGGCAGAAAUAAAAUGAGUGCUUUUUGCGGGCCAAGGAAAAAUAACCACAUAGUGGAUGAAAUGGCAAUGGAGUUGCUACAACAAGGCGUGUAUUUCACGGCGAGUGAAAUCAAAUCAAAAAUGCACAAUCUUUCACAGCUUUAUAGGAAGGAGAAGACAGCAGUCGGGUCAACUGGCGGUUCUCCCUCGCAGGGGCCACUGUAUGAAAAAAUGAGAGCCGUACUGUUGCCGUACGUCAGCUACAACGCCGAGAGCUUAGUGGAGGAAAGCUUAUAAAGUUUUACUGACUCCGAACCACUUCAAAUUUCGGUGGAAACGGUUGCGCCUUAUACAUUUGUUGCUGCAUCUCCAUUGCCAUCACCGGUUUCCCUACAUUCGCCCUCAGCGAUGCCGAUGUCGCCAACCGUUAGUUCUUCAUUAACAAUAUCGUCUCCCGAGCCGGGUGAUUAUGGAAAUAAAAAUAGGAAUAAUUUUCAGAGCCUGAUAUUAAAAAAAUGUGAAAGAAUUGAAAAACAGCUCGAGAAAGCAAAUCAGGAAUUCAAUGAAACCAGCAAACAAAUUAUGGACAUGACAGAAAAAUUGGUUGAAAAUGACAAUAAAAAAACCCAACUGAUGGAAGAAUAUCUGAAAGACUCUAAAGAAACAAAUAAACGAUUGCUUGUGUUUCUAAAUAAAUAAAAAAAUAAAUUAAUAUAUUUUCUUUUUGGAAGAUGUUUAACGUUGACAUGAAUUAGUUCAGCCUAUUUAGUUAUAAUUAAAAUUAUUUUUAUAUGGAAAAUAAAAUUGAAUUUUAUUUUGUGUGUACAA